rnacentral:rRNA from 1 species
CGCCUGCACGAAGUCGGAAUUGCUAGUAAUCGCAGAUCAGCAUGCUGCGGUGAAUACGUUCCCGGUUCGAGUCCCUAAUUCUCCACCAAACGUAAGGCCGUUUACCUGAAAAGGUAAGCGGCUUUUUCUUGUAU